UACGUAGGGUGCGAGCGUUGUCCGGAAUUAUUGGGCGUAAAGAGCUUGUAGGCGGUCUGUCGCGUCUGCUGUGAAAAUCCGGGGCUCAACCCCCGGACUUGCAGUGGGUACGGGGCAGACUAGAGUGUGGUAGGGGAGACUGGAAUUCCUGGUGUAGCGGUGAAAUGCGCAGAUAUCAGGAAGAACACCAAUGGCGAAAGCAGCUCUCUGGGACGGUACUGACGCUGAGACGCGAAAGCGUGGGGAGCGAACAGG
rnacentral:rRNA from 1 species